CUCCCCCCACCCCACAACCCUCAGUGUCCAAAGGUGUUUGCUGAAGUAAAUCUGUCUAAAUCCCGCACAGCUUGGCCAGGAGGAGGAGGGAGGGAAGGUGUACCGAUAAUCCCUCUUCUUAACCAAAAAAUAAAGGAAGGCAAAAAAAAAAAAAAAAAAGUUCUGGGCGAAGAACAGAAAGAGAAAGCUGGAAUCCAUAUCACAUGAUUUAAAGAGCCCCCUCCCUCUUCAUCUUUUAUUAAGAUUUGCAUACAUCCUGCCUGGGAAUGCAGAUGAUAUCUCACUAAUCUCAAGUGAAAACCACAGUGUCGUACGCGUAAAAACGAUCUUUAAAAAAAAAAACGUGUUUUUCUUGGCUAAUUUGUUGAAAACGGAAAGAAAAGAAUGAAAGUGUUUGAAAGUAUGGGAUGCUUUUCCUUCACCUUAAGGAGUGAGCGUCCACGAAUAGUGUAGGCAUCUCGUAACACUAUCUGUCUGUCAGGAGAGAGGUGGUGGUGAGGAGGGGGGGUCCCCGCUCGAGUAGGGAGGCUAUAAAAGGCUUGUAACCAAGGGACGACCAACAAACAACCACAAACACCCCAGUUAUUUCUCUCCACCCACCUCUUUUUCUAUUUUCCCCUUCCACCUCUUCUUCUUUUCCUCCUUUCCUCUUCAUUUUUUUUUUCUUAUUCUCGCCCCCCUUUUCAUCUCGGGCCCUUUUCUGAUGCUGAAUGCAAAUGUGCAGCCCUGCUGCUGCUGCUGGCGGCAAAAGGGGCUGAAUUGUGAUUAAGAGGGAGAAGAAGAAGGAGAAGAAGAAGAAGAAGUAGGAAGAGAAGCUCCUUUUCUUUGUUCUCCCCCUGGGGGAUGUUUACCAGGAGAGACGCGGCGGAUCAGAUAUGAAAGGCAUUCAGGAAAAGGAAGGAAAGGAGAGGGGGGGUAAAAAAGUGCACACCACCGCCGACCCCGUAUGGGAAUGGCAGCAGUGAAUGGCGCGGCGGACAACCCCCCGCCACUAUUGACGAGGCGUCUCGCGGCCAAAAGGAGCUGCUGCUGAGGAGGAGGAAUAGCGGAGCGGCGGGCGCGCGGAUCCUGUUCCACCGGUGUGAUAAUAAAGCCUUAGAAAUAAAAGCCUCAGAAAUAGUUGGGAGGAGGGAGGGACCGCUGCUCCUGCAAGGGCAGGUUUACAACUGAUGUCUUACACCCACUCCAGGAAACAAACCUGGGUAGGGACUGGCGUGUUACGCCUCUUCUAAUGACAUUUUUUUUCUUCUACCCCCCCUCUUCCUCCUCCUCUUCUCCUCUCCUCUCUUUCCACCUCCUUUUUUUGCAGCAACAGAGGAGAGAAGCCCCCUGAAACGCACGCCACCUAUCUUCACGGGAGGGGAUAAUUGAGGAGCCAAACGUGAGCAUCUUCGGAGGUUUUUUUUCUCUCUCUGUCUUUCCACUCCCUCCUUUCUCUCUCUCUCUCCCUCCUUUCUCUCAUCCCUCCCUCCUUUCUCUCCUUUCUUGAGCUCCCCCCCCCCUUCAUCUCUCAACGCGCUCCCAGUUUCAGAAACUUCUCUCCUCUUCUUGCAUGUAAGGCUUCUCUCCUAUUUUAACAUUUUAUUUUAUUUUAAAUAUCUAUGUAAAUGGUUGGGGGCGGGGGGUCGGUUCGGGUCGGACGCACGCGGAUGGUUGCGGUGGAGGGGAUGAAAUUGUCCGCGCGGCUGCUCCUUUUCCAAAAAAACAAAUAAAAUGAAACAAAAAAAAAAAA